rnacentral:lncRNA from 1 species
GCGGCCGCGCCGGAGACUUCAAACGCGGGGAGCGCGGCCCAGCACCCGCGGCGAGUUCGCGGCGCCGCCUCCCUCCUGCUCACCCGCUCGCCGCCCGGAGCGCUCAGGCCGUGGCUCGCACGCCCGGAGGGGCGCGGUGGCUGGCGCCCGCAGACACACGUGCGCCCAGCGCGGCGGGGACCGUCGUCCUUCAUUGGGGGUAGCGACCCAGAGGCUCGGGAAAGGCAAUAAUUCAGGGGUCCAACGUGCGCUUAACCUGAGCUGUGCUCUGUGUCAAGAAGACUCUCUUCUG